rnacentral:rRNA from 1 species
UACGUAGGUGGCAAGCGUUGUCCGGAUUUACUGGGCGUAAAGAGCGCGCAGGCGGUCGUUCAAGUCGCGUGUGAAAGCCCCCGGCUCAACUGGGGAGGGUCACGCGAUACUGAUCGACUCGAAGGCAGGAGAGGGUAGUGGAAUUCCCGGUGUAGUGGUGAAAUGCGUAGAUAUCGGGAGGAACACCAGUGGCGAAGGCGACUACCUGGCCUGUUUCUUGACGCUGAGGCGCGAAAGCUAGGGGAGCGAACGGG